UACGUAGGGUCCGAGCGUUGUCCGGAAUUACUGGGCGUAAAGAGCUCGUAGGUGGUUUGUCGCGUUGUUCGUGAAAACUCACAGCUCAACUGUGGGCGUGCGGGCGAUACGGGCAGACUAGAGUACUGCAGGGGAGGCUGGAAUUCCUGGUGUAGCGGUGGAAUGCGCAGAUAUCAGGAGGAACACCGGUGGCGAAGGCGGGUCUCUGGGCAGUAACUGACGCUGAGGAGCGAAAGCGUGGGGAGCGAACAGG
rnacentral:rRNA from 1 species